GAGCAAGGACACCAAACUCUAAGAUCCAGAAGGCAGAAAGGCAAAGCUUAGAGCUUCAUUCAUCCUCCCUGGGACACCUGUGGACAUGAUUCAGGAAAGAGAAUGAAUCAAGUCAGCACAAAGGUGACGUCUGAGGCUGGCAGAAUUGUGGCAGAGGGACCUAUAUCAUCUGCCGUGACUCCCACCAAGCAGAAAGCAAUUCCAUUUUGCCUGGAUCUGGGAACAAAGCCAAUGUCUGCUUUAGAGGAACAGAGAUUUCCAACGCUGCGAUAGAGAGAGAGAAGCAAAUACUUGUGGCUUUGUGGAGACUGUCAGGCACAAGAUAUCGGACACACAGGAGUCUCCAGCUCUGCUUACAGAGGAAUCCCUCAU
rnacentral:lncRNA from 1 species